rnacentral:rRNA from 1 species
GAUGAACGCUGGCGGCGUGCCUAAUACAUGCAAGUCGAGCGAACAGAUGAGGAGCUUGCUCCUCUGACGUUAGCGGCGGACGGGUGAGUAACACGUGGAUAACCUACCUAUAAGACUGGGAUAACUUCGGGAAACCGGAGCUAAUACCGGAUAAUAUAUUGAACCGCAUGGUUCAAUAGUGAAAGACGGUUUUGCUGUCACUUAUAGAUGGAUCCGCGCCGCAUUAGCUAGUUGGUAAGGUAACGGCUUACCAAGGCAACGAUGCGUAGCCGACCUGAGAGGGUGAUCGGCCACACUGGAACUGAGACACGGUCCAGACUCCUACGGGAGGCAGCAGUAGGGAAUCUUCCGCAAUGGGCGAAAGCCUGACGGAGCAACGCCGCGUGAGUGAUGAAGGUCUUCGGAUCGUAAAACUCUGUUAUCGGGGAAGAACAAAUGUGUAAGUAACUAUGCACGUCUUGACGGUACCUAAUCAGAAAGCCACGGCUAACUACGUG